AUAAACUAGAAAGCAUUCAAAGCCUAAAAACAGCAAAUUGAGUAGCCUGCAAGAUCCAAGGAAUAACCAAGUCUUUCCAUCACAUCCUUCUCAAAUGGCCAAAAUUCACCCUCUUCCACCUGCUGAAUCUUCUUGCUCUUUCUCUACUUCUUACAUCACUUCAGAGGCAGAGACAUUUACUGUAUGGAUGAAAUCCCUUGUGAUGCACACAAAUGGAUGCACUGUUUAUAAUCAAAAUGGAGAGAUUGUUUAUCGCGUAGAUAACUAUGACAAGAAAGGAAGCAGUGAGGUCUAUCUCAUGGAUCUCAAGGGCAGAGUCCUGUUCACCAUAAGGGUAUGUUGAUUCAUUUCUAAAACCAUGAUGUGUGCUCUCAUAAGUUUAUGAUACUAGCUACCUCUUUGGUCACAGAAAGAUGAUUUUCUUUAUCUUUGUGCAGAAACUAUGGCUUUUCAGACAAUGGAAGGGUUACAGAUGUGAUGGGUUGAAAUUAAAAUCUCAGAAGCCUUUCUUCCAAGUGAGAAAAAGCUCAGGAAUUUUCAAGGGCGAUUUAUCUUGUGAAAUUGCUGUUAGAUCUGGUUGCUACAAGUUGGAAGCCUCGGCUGGGAAAUCAGCUUUCAAGAUCACAGACAGCAACGGAAGACUAGUUGCAAAGGCCACAAGAAAGCAAACAUCUUCAGGAAUAGUAUUGGGAGAUGAUGUAUUGACCUUAGUGGUGGAACCUGAGGUUGAUCACUCCUUUAUCAUGGCUCUAGUCACUGUUUAUGGAUUAAUUCAUCACAAAUUGUGAGCAUUAGUCUUCCAUGAAGGUGCAAGCUGGUUCAGAAUAUGUAGCAGAGAAUGAAAUUCUUUUUCCCUCGUUUACUAACUCUUGAAUUUUGCUGAUCUAAAGGAUUUUUCUUUUUAUUUGCCUGAGGAUUGGAUCUAUUUUUCCCAAUUUUUUACUGUAUAUACAGAGCUCAAAUGUGGCUCUAGUACAGUUUGUAAUUAGAUACCAAAAAAAAAAAUCAAUAUCAAAAAAUUCCAUCAAAUUUCAU
rnacentral:misc_RNA from 1 species